GCAAUUAGAACACGUUCCCUUAUUGCUGUGAUUUUUGCCUUUUGUUUUUAUUGUCACCUCUUUUGGUUUAUUGUUUUAAUCUGGUUUUGUGCAAUUGAACAAUUAUUAAUUAUUUUUUGUACUUUUCAACAGUUCAUCUAUUCAUGGUCAAGUUGGUCAUUGUCUAGUUUUAUUUUUAUCCAAGCCAAUUUCAUCUCUUUUCCCAUGUGUUUUACGCUUUUCACUGUUAGUUGGCUUACUCGGUCUUACCGAUCUUUACAGGUCUAUGGUACACAAGUGUCCCUCUGAUUCGGAUUAAAUUGUAUUGGGUCAACUGGAAUCUCUUGAGUCUUCCAACUGUUCGGAUCCUUGCUCGCUAGGGAUUUUGGUAUACCUUACAAAUGUAACACAAUAUUGAUGCUGGCUAAAAGUGAUUCACAUCUUUUCAACAACAUAAUUGUUACGCCAAUGUCAAUCAACACUUGAAAGUUAAACUGGUUUCAAAUUAAAGUCGCUUCUCACUCGAUUCAACAAUAUAAAAUGCAGAACCAAACGAGUUGACACCAAACUCAUGCUCUUCAUCGCCAUUGUUAACAUUUUCAUUUUCAUUUCCAUUUCUUUUUUGGUUACCUGUUCUGUUAUUUAAAUGUUAUAAAUUCCUAUUUCAGUUUCUCCAAUUCUCAAGGUCAAUUUCUUAGUAACAUUUUUCUUAUCUCUUUUUGUUUUCCAUUGAAUCCAAUCCUCAGGGGGUAACCAAAUCAAAUUGAGUGAUAGCGGAAAUGAGAUUUAAGAUUGCAAUUGAAAUUGCUUUACCAAUCAAUGUUUCCGUUUACAAUUUCAAUUCAACUUUUCUACCUUUUCUUUUUUAAUUCCUAACAAUUUUCCCUAAAACAUAAUCAUUAUUGUUUCCACCAUUCAAAUGGUUCCAGCCGUUGCCUUAACCAUUACCAGAUUCACCUUUUUAAUUGCAAAUUGUCAACCUGUUUUCAUCUUUCAACUCAUAAACCCAACUAUACUUUACAACAAAAAAUAUUGAUGCAAAUUUGAGCUGUAAACUCAAAAUUGCAAUUUCAAUUUGAUGAAAAUGAGUAAAAACUUGAAAUCUUAAUGAAUCAGAAA